rnacentral:rRNA from 1 species
AGUGAACGCUGGCGGUAGGCCUAACACAUGCAAGUCGAACGGCAGCACAGUAAGAGCUUGCUCUUACGGGUGGCGAGUGGCGGACGGGUGAGGAAUACAUCGGAAUCUACUUUUUCGUGGGGGAUAACGUAGGGAAACUUACGCUAAUACCGCAUACGACCUACGGGUGAAAGCAGGGGAUCUUCGGACCUUGCGCGAUUGAAUGAGCCAAUGUCGGAUUAGCUAGUUGGCGGGGUAAAGGCCCACCAAGGCGACGAUCCGUAGCUGGUCUGAGAGGAUGAUCAGCCACACUGGAACUGAGACACGGUCCAGACUCCUACGGGAGGCAGCAGUGGGGAAUAUUGGACAAUGGGCGCAAGCCUGAUCCAGCCAUACCGCGUGGGUGAAGAAGGCCUUCGGGUUGUAAAGCCCUUUUGUUGGGAAAGAAAAGCAGCAGGUUAAUACCCCGCUGUUCUGACGGUACCCAAAGAAUAGGCACCGGCUAACUUCGUG